rnacentral:rRNA from 1 species
GCCGGAUUAGCUGAGAGGUGGUGCAUGGCCGUCGUCAGUUCGUACUGUGAAGCAUCCUGUUAAGUCAGGCAACGAGCGAGACCCACGCCCACAGUUGCCAGCGUACUCUCCGGAGUGACGGGUACACUGUGGGGACCGCCGCUGCUAAAGCGGAGGAAGGAAUGGGCAACGGUAGGUCAGUAUGCCCCGAAUAUCCCGGGCUACACGCGAGCUACAAUGGUUGGUACAAUGGGUAUCUACCCCGAAAGGGGACGGAAAUCUCCUAAAACCAAUCUUAGUUCGGAUUGAGGGCUGCAACUCGCCCUCAUGAAGCUGGAAUCCGUAGUAAUCGCGUUUCAACAGAACGCGGUGAAUACGUUCCCGGGCCUU